ACAGCAGUCGCCGCGGGAAUACGUAGGGUGCAAGCGUUAAUCGGAAUUACUGGGCGUAAAGCGUGCGCAGGCGGUUAUAUAAGACAGAUGUGAAAUCCCCGGGCUCAACCUGGGAACUGCAUUUGUGACUGUAUAGCUAGAGUACGGCAGAGGGGGAUGGAAUUCCGCGUGUAGCAGUGAAAUGCGUAGAUAUGCGGAGGAACACCGAUGGCGAAGGCAAUCCCCUGGGCCUGUACUGACGCUCAUGCACGAAAGCGUGGGGAGCAAACAGGAUUAGAUACCCCAGUAGUCCCUGUCUCUUAUAA
rnacentral:rRNA from 1 species